UACGUAGGGUGCGAGCGUUGUCCGGAAUUAUUGGGCGUAAAGAGCUUGUAGGCGGUCUGUCGCGUCUGCUGUGAAAAUCCGGGGCUCAACCCCGGACUUGCAGUGGGUACGGGCAGACUAGAGUGUGGUAGGGGAGACUGGAAUUCCUGGUGUAGCGGUGAAAUGCGCAGAUAUCAGGAGGACACCGAUGGCGAAGGCAGGUCUCUGGGCCACUACUGACGCUGAGGAGCGAAAGCAUGGGGGAGCGAACAGG
rnacentral:rRNA from 1 species